rnacentral:rRNA from 1 species
GAUGAACGCUGGCGGCGUGCCUAAUACAUGCAAGUCGAGCGAAGCGGGGACGGGUGAGUAACACGUGGAUAACCUCCUCUCAGACUGGGAUAACCUCGGGAAACAGGAGCUCAACCGGAUACUUAUAUAUGGAUCCGCGCUGCAUUAGCUAGUUGGUAAGGUAACGGCUUACCAAGGCAAAGAUGCAUAGCCGACCUGCAAGGGUGGUCAGGCACACGGGAACUGAGACACGGUCGAGACACCUACGGUGGGCAGCGGUAGUGAAUCUUCCGGAAUGGGCGAAAGCCUAACGGAGCAACGCCGCGGAAGUGAUGAUGGUGUUCGGAUCGUAAAGCUCUGAUAUUAGGGGAGCGGUACCUAAACAGAAAGCCACGGCUAACUACGUGCCAGCAGCCGCGGUAAUAC